rnacentral:rRNA from 1 species
AGCAAUACGGGAGUGGCGCACGGGUGAGUAGCACGUGGGAAUAUGCCCAGCAGUGGGGGAUAACCGAGGGAAACUUCGGCUAAUACCGCAUACGCCCCUAGGGGGAAAGAUUUAUCGCUGUUGGAUUAGCCCGCGUCCGAUUAGCUAGUUGGUGUGGUAACGGCGCACCAAGGCGACGAUCGGUAGCUGGUCUGAGAGGAUGAUCAGCCACACUGGGACUGAGACACGGCCCAGACUCCUACGGGAGGCAGCAGUGGGGAAUAUUGGACAAUGGGGGCAACCCUGAUCCAGCCAUGCCGCGUGAGUGAAGAAGGCCUUAGGGUUGUAAAGCUCUUUCGGCGGGGACGAUGAUGACGGUACCCGCAGAAGAAGCCCCGGCUAACUCCGUGCCAGCAGCCGCGGUAAUACGGAGGGGGCUAGCGUUGUUCGGAAUUACUGGGCGUAAAGCGCGCGCAGGCGGCUAUUCUAG